CGAUGUUCUUGGAAGCAACGAAUCUUCUUUUGUAGAACAUUUUGGAAUGAAUAGGGAGGAGUUUGGCAUCCUUGUGGAACGCCUUUGUGGAUUGGCCCAAAAAGACACCGCAUUUGGAAAGGCCAUUCCUCUCGAUAAGCGGGUUGCAAUCACAUUAUAUACCUUAUGAUCUUCUGCGGAGUAUCGGACAGUGGGCACGUUGUUUGGUGUGUCGAAAGCAAUGGUCUGCAAAUUAUUGCUAGAAUUUUGCCAUGAGACCUGUAGAGCUCUGUCAUCCGACUACAUCCCGCAGAACUUCCUCACGCAAUCAAAAUUGGAGGAAUGUGUUAAAGGCUUUGAAGAAUUUGGCUUCCCACAAUGCGCGAUUGAUGGCUGUCACAUUGAUAUUCAUCCAUGUGCAACUGAUACAGCUGACUAUUUUAAUUACAAAGGCUGGUACUCAACUAUAUAUAUUGUUAGCAAUGGUUGAUGCAAUAUGCAAUUAUUGAGUGAUACUCAUUUUUGCAUUUGUAUAUUGAUGUCAAAUGUAAUUUUAGAUAUAGAUUUCUUUAUAUAAACUCGACACUUUUGAAGAAUAACUCGCGCAUUAUUUCGGGAGUUGAUGUGCCUGUUGUGGUGAUUGGCGAUUCGGCUUUCAAAUUUUCGAGUCAAGUAAUAAA